rnacentral:rRNA from 1 species
AUAAGACUCUCGACAACAGAUAUCUAGGCCCUCGCAUUGAUGAAGAACGUAGAAAAGUGCGAUACUUGGUGUGAAUUGCAGAAUCCCGUGAACCAUCGAGUCUUUGAACCGGAGCCUUCGGGCCGAGGGCACGCCUGCCUGGGCAUCACGC